AAAUUGAAGAGUUUGAUCAUGGCUCAGAUUGAACGCUGGCGGCAGGCCUAACACAUGCAAGUCGAACGGUAACAGGAAGCAGCUUGCUGCUUCGCUGACGAGUGGCGGACGGGUGAGUAAUGUCUGGGAAACUGCCUGAUGGAGGGGGAUAACUACUGGAAACGGUGGCUAAUACCGCAUAACGUCGCAAGACCAAAGAGGGGGACCUUCGGGCCUCUUGCCAUCAGAUGUGCCCAGAUGGGAUUAGCUUGUUGGUGAGGUAACGGCUCACCAAGGCGACGAUCCCUAGCUGGUCUGAGAGGAUGACCAGCCACACUGGAACUGAGACACGGUCCAGACUCCUACGGGAGGCAGCAGUGGGGAAUAUUGCACAAUGGGCGCAAGCCUGAUGCAGCCAUGCCGCGUGUAUGAAGAAGGCCUUCGGGUUGUAAAGUACUUUCAGCGGGGAGGAAGGUGUUGCGGUUAAUAACCGCAGCAAUUGACGUUACCCGCAGAAGAAGCACCGGCUAACUCCGUGCCAGCAGCCGCGGUAAUACGGAGGGUGCAAGCGUUAAUCGGAAUUACUGGGCGUAAAGCGCACGCAGGCGGUCUGUCAAGUCGGAUGUGAAAUCCCCGGGC
rnacentral:rRNA from 2 species